ACUCGGUUUUAUCAGCAUUAUUUCCUUAUUUUUUUAUGGAUCAUCAAAAACUACCGGCUUCUGUAACACUGACUUGAUGUGGUUACAGGAACACUAUUUUGACGUCGUCAUCAACUGGCAGACUUUUUACGUGAUAUCAAUAUGCGUCCACGUGCAUUUCAUUCUCCAUACCUAAAUGUAUAUAUGUUAUACAUUUAUAUAUAGUAUUACUAUAAUUUAAUGGAUAUCUUGAUUCAGUUCAGUUGUAGCAUCGGGUAUCAAAUAAAAUUUCUGAGUUACCGCUGGUUGAUCACAAAACUUGAAUUUGAAUAAAUGUUUUAAUUACAGGAAAAAUACAAGAGGGAUAUUCAAAUAUUUGGAGUAAAGAAUAAUAAAAGUAGAGUGUACUGUUUUCUAUGUACAAAUAUUAUUUUAUUCAUACUUGUAACGAGAACGAGAGCAAGUUGAGGACGCGGGUAGAAUGGGUACUGAAGUAAAGUAAACUAGCGAUGUAUUAUAUGUAGUAGUAGCAUGUAGAGUAUGAGUACAGUUGUAUUGUGUAGAAGCGUGUGUCGAAGCCCUCAUAUCAGGAAAGAUCCCUCGUGAUGAACCGGCUUUUGAGCAUGAGCAUGAGCGUAGUUUAUAAAAUAGUGGAUGAUAUUAAACAAGAAAAGUGGGUGCGAUGAAGGUUUAAAUAUGUCCCUGCGCCUAUGCCUUGACCAGACCAACACUUGGUUGAUAAAAUAUGCAUGACGUUUAGUGCGGCUUCCGUUUCGUGUUUAUUACUCACUUCGCUGUCCUGCUUGCCCCUAGAGGCUGGGAUCCGUGAAAAAUAUUUUCAAUGACGCUAGAUCAUGAUCAAUGGAAUUGGAUCUGAUCUUUGGGCGGCACCAGUUGCAUUUUGUUUUUUAAUGAUUCUGAUAAAUAUUUUAAUUACUGAUAUUGUGAUCAUCUUUUUAUUAAUGAAUGAAUCCAAUAUUCUUAGUUCAAUUUAUUAUUAUUAUUUAAUUUAUCGAUAGUUUUGUAAAAAGAAUUGUCAUACUUUGUUUUAGAUGAAUUAUGAAAUAAUAAUUUAUAUGUAAAUUCCGAUAAUAUGAGGAUAAGACAUAUUUUUAAGCGAUAAAAUACUGAUAGCAGGGAAUCUAAUGGCUUAAAAUGAUUAAUGACAGAUUCUGAUAAUAUCAAGUAAAUAUAUUAAUUAUUUAAAUAACGAAAUUAAAAGUUGCGCACACAAUGAAUAAAAGCGAAAAAAUUAUUGUUUAAU